UAUAUAUAUAUAUAUAUAUAUAUAUAUAUAUAUAUAUACAAAUAUAUUUACUGUCUAUAAUAUUGUAUAUAAUUUAUGGAAGAUAAUCAUUGCAAUUAUACACACGCGUUCCACUUAACGAUCGCAACACUCACGAUAUUAUUUCAUCCUUAUUGUUCACCGAAAGUUAAACAAAGACAGAUCAUGUUCGCGAGCGUUGCGGUCGUUAAAUGCUCCCAUACAUGCGAUGGUUGCAAUUUUUAAAUAUGGUUAUUCCAUAAAUGAUAAAUCAUGACUGUUUCUACCUCACCUCGUGUCCGUGUUGUUCGAGUUAUUCUACACGCUUAUAUGCGAGUGGAUAUAUUUUUGUAUAUGUCGCACAAUAUGUAUUGUAAAUAUAUUGGUAGUGAUAUAUAUAAAUAUUUAAUAACGUUGUUGUGAAUGAGAAUAUAACGUCGUGUCAACCUAUCCCAUUGUCCUAUGUCUAAAGUUUAAUUUAAAAAAUCUAAAAAAAAAAUGUAAAAUAUGAAACAAUUUUGUGGCAUUAUUUUAUAUACAUUAUUAUAUUAAAAUUAUUAUAUAAAGGCUAUUAAUUUUUCCAUUUUACACAUAACGUUAAAGUUAAAUAUACAUUGUACAAAAAAAAAUUAUAAAAAUAAUAAAUAGAGUUAAACUUUUUUUGCUGUUAUGUGCGCGAACUAUUUUUAUGCAUGUAUAUAUGUGUUGUAUGUAGGUGUUAAUAUGUAUUAUAUUUAUAUAAAAUAGAUUAAAAUAGCAAAAAUGAUAUGACAAAGGGGAAAAUACGUAAAUCUUUAUUAAAUUAAUAUCUUGUAUGUCGUAUAAUAAUAACAAUAAUGUCUAUUCUCGAAGAACACGUGGCAAGGGGUUGACAAGAAAUUCAAACAAGAGUGACAUUUGCGCAUGUUCGAUAUUUUUGGCGCCGCAGUGACCGGUGACGUUUCCCGCCCGCGACGCGCUUCACGCCUCACGCCUUCACGCGCUUGCAGUUUCGCGUGAGCUUGCAAUGGUGGAGGGCGCUUUGGCGAUCAGUGGAAAUCUCGAGAAUCUUUGUUGAAAGGCACGUGUAUAAGCGUGCAAAUUUAUCGCACAUCUCAUGAUAACUCAAACUAAGGAUCUUACGAAGGACACCGGCGAUAUGUCUACCUACGAAAGAUCGAGCGACACGCAUCAUCUAACGACGAUGACAAGAAUUGUUGGGGUGUGCACUGCUGUUGUUGUGUGCGGCGUCGGCGCGGAUGUGGCGUACCAUCGACACGUCAUGGGGCUUUACGUUACGGCGGCAUCAGGCGCGAUCUUCUUCCUUGAAGUAACUUGGGCCAUUACGUUAUUUGUACAACUCUGCGUCAGAAAUGAGGAUUCUCUCUGCUUGCAUUGUUGGUCCAACGUUCUGAAAACCACACGAGGCUGGCGAAGAGCGUUGCUGUACUUGCCGUUGUCUUGCAUCUUGGCAUGGAAACCCAAUAGACUUUGGCUCUCCUAUGUUGCGGAUACUGUUUGCAGCCGGUCUGUUGGCGGUAUUGUCCUUGCUGCAUAUUGCAUCGAGCGCGCUAGGACGACGAGAUCCUUGUCAAUCGAAUGCUGGGACUGAUUCGGUAGGUGAGAGUCUCUUAAACUCCAGACAGGACAAUUACGAUCGCUUCGAGGAAGUCUUAGUGACGGAAGUCCUCGAUGACGGCGUGUCAGGAUCAGGGCGCUGUCCCGGUGAUAGUGACGGCGAGAUAUGACACGAACGACGGCCCUCCUGGGCCAGCGAAUCCGAUGAAGAUAGUGAGAUUGAACAGAGGACAUGUCAAAUCGCCACAUUAUCUUAGUCCUUUGACCUGAGAAGUCUCCGAUUUGAUCCUGCAUCAAUCGAAAGGAAAUGGUUCUGCUCGUGGCAAGGAAAUGUGGCAAGGGAAUGUUAGAGACGCGCAAUGUCGAAAUGCCGAUCUAAAGUUGUGCAAAUUAAAUGAUCAAAAGUCAUUUUGUGUACGAGAUUUAGUUUAAAAAAAAAGCAAAAAAAAAGAGCAUAAAUUUACUGAAUUUACUGAUUUUUUAAUCUAAAAGAAUCUAAACUUGAUGAUGUAAUAAUGGAGAGAUGUAUAUUAUUGCAGUACGCGUGGAGGAAUAGGAAAAAAUCUAAAAAAAAAAUGCGCAAAUAUUUUUCUUAGAUAGAUAUUCGUUUCUUAGAUAGAUGAUGAUUUUCUAUGCAUUAUGUAUUUCAGAACGUAACAGGUACAAAUAUUAUAAUAUUAUAAUUGCAUGAUACGUACAAAACUAUAAAACUUCGAUAAGGCAAUCAUUUAAUAUCAUUCAUAAAUUAUUGUAUACAUGUUACACGAUUGCUAAUAAAUACUUUCUAAGAGUA